rnacentral:rRNA from 1 species
GACGUAGGGGGCGAGCGUUGUCCGGAUUUAUUGGGCGUAAAGCGCGCGCAGGCGGUUCGGUAAGUCGGAUGUGAAAAUCCGGGGCUCAACCCCGGACGUGCAUCCGAUACUUCCGGACUGGAGGCAGGUAGGGGAGAGCGGAAUUCCCGGUGUAGCGGUGAAAUGCGCAGAUAUCGGGAAGAACACCAAUGGCGAAGGCAGCUCGCUGGGACGGUACUGACGCUGAGGCGCGAAAGCGUGGGGAGCAAACAGG